rnacentral:lncRNA from 1 species
UCUCACUACCGCUAAAGCAUUAUGGUUUAGAUUGUUACCUGGAAGGUUGUUCCAAUAGAAUGUGACAAUUGUCAUCGACCAGAGACUCCAAUCCGGGCUCAUUCCAAUUUUUGCAACAAACAGAACAUGUAAGUUCUCAAUAUGAUUUUAGGCAAUUGUUUUGGUCUAAGUUCACUUUUCUACAUGCUUCAUCAUUGAUUUUAGAGCCAUAUAUUGAUUUUCUGGUCAGAUAAAAAUAGAAUUAAUUAUUCUAUUUUUUCUGUAUUAAUCUAGAACUGUAUAUUUAUUUUUUUGAUCGUUUUCUGUGCAUUUGGGAAUGGUAAAUCAAUUUUGAACAAUGGCUUGAUAUAGUUUUGAAUCAGCCUUUUAACCAAUUUUCAUGGUAUUUUCUUAUAUUAGUUUUAUCCAAAACUGAUCAGAAAAACAAAUUACAUUAUUUUAAGAAAUCAAUUAUCUUUGAACUGCCCCGAAGGACGCUGCUACCACCGGCCUAUCCAAGCUUAUCUUGAUCAUGCAUAAAUCAUCCAGGUUCGGAUUCAUAAACAAUAAUAAUUGUCUAAGAUGACUCGCUUUUGCCACGGUUCCAGUGGAUUUUCUUAAUCAAGCCAGGCCACCACAGGCAACAGCAGGGACGGAUCUACCUUAUGAGGUAGGGGUACCACGGCACCCGCUUGCUUUGUUAAAAUUUUUACUAUGUAAAUAAUAUCUUUGUGAAGAAAGUAUAAAUGGAUAGAGUAGCACCCAAAAGUCACAAAGUGGAAGCGAGUGCCAUUGGUUCAGCCUUCCCUUUGAAGGCUUUCUUUGGCCUCAUGAAUGCAAAUUCGAUUCCUUGUUGGAGCAACUCCUUUGACUUUUCCUUUUUUCUACUUAUUACGAUUUCUUUUAUUUUCAGUUGAGCCCUAGGGCCUCACCUCUUUUUCUUCUUUUUCGGUUAUUUCCCACCUUUUAUUAUUUGCUAAGCCUUUCUUCUUUAUUUUCUUAACUUUCAGUACUCAUUUUGUUUCUAUC